rnacentral:lncRNA from 1 species
GGGUGGGUCAUCUUGAAGCUUCUCUGAGGAACCCAAAGUAAGUGUUCUUUUGUAUCUUGGAGACUGAGUGAAAGAGUGAGACAAUUGAUUGAGUGAAAGAGUGAGACAAUCUAUUAUCUUUGAAGAGAUUUAUCCUAAAGAUUAGCUUGGAGUCCUAUGGAUGUUAGAUAUAACAUAUAAAGAAAAAAAAUGCUUAAAACCCAUGAAAAGUUAAUAAUUUUUCUUUAUAAACUGAGAAUAAUUUCUUAUUUCAAUUUGGUUGGAUAAAAGUUAUAUCGGGGUCAUUUGGCACGGCGGACUGUCAUAGACUGGACUAAAUCCUGGGACUGUCUCGGAUUAGCUCGGAUUGGCCUAAGCUAGAUUAAGUACUGACCUACUUUUGGUGUUGGGUCGGACUAAGAAGCUGGAUUGUAAAAAUAGUAAAAACCUAUGUUUGGAGUUGUGUCGGACUAAAAAUAAUUAUUUUAAUAUUUAAUUUUAAUUAAUAAAAUUCUAAUAUUUAAUUUUAAUUAAGGCUUUUUUUACCUAAAAAUAAAUAAAAAGAAAACAAACAAGUGAGUAUGUGGUGGUUUAUUAUCUUAUCUUUGGGCAAACAAACAAUUGAACCACGCAGUUCAAACUAGGGAUGGCAAAAAUCCCCGCGGGGGCGGGUCCCCGUCGGGUCCCAGACCCUAAUGGGGAGAGAUUUCGGGGCCAAAUGGUUAUCGGGUAUGGGGAUUCCCAAACUUAAAAAAUCCCCAACGGGUAUGGGGAGGGGAUGGUAUUGGCCUCCCCAUCCCCGAAUCCGACCCGAAAAUAUAUAUGUUUAUAUUUAAAUAAAUAAAUAAAUAAUUAUAAUAUUUAUGUUUAACCCUAAGUUAACCUCUCUCUCCUAAUUCUUCCUAAUCUUUUCUAGAAUUUCAUAUUGAUGUGAUUUUGAAUAGUUGAGUUGAACUUUAUAGUUAAUUUGGAUGUGUUGAAUGAUAAUUUAAUAUGAAACUUAAUGUUAAAAUAUAUGAUAAAUAUUUUUUGUGCAAAAAAAAUCGGGGAUUCGGGGCGGGUAUGGGGGAUAGUCCCCCGACGGGAACGGGGACGGGAUUCCCCGAAACCUAUUAAACGGGGAUUGGUUCGGGGAUGGGGGCGGGGAUGGAGAGCGGGGACGGGGAUGGUAUUGUCAUACCCGGCCCCUACCCGGCCCGUUGCCAUCCCUAGUUCAAACUAUAUUUUCUUUUUUUUUCUUUUUUUUUUCUUCUUUUCUUUCUUCCUCUUAUCCCAUUGACUUUUCUUCUUCUUCCUUAUCUCUGGCCGGUUUCUUUCUUCCUCCUUUCUUAUUCCUUCCAACCAAAGCCUUUUUUUUUUUUUUUUCCUUUCUUCCUUUCCAGGCCGUUCCUUUUAUUUCUUUUUUUUUUUCUUCCUAUUCUUUCCUCUCUUUUCUUCUUUUUUCAUUCCUUUUCACUCUCUCUUCAUUCUGCACCUCAACUUUUAAGAGAGCCAGAUCCACUUCUGGAUAUGUAGUGGCUGCAAACACCCUCCCCUCUCUCUUUCUGGUUCCACUAAAUAAUGGUUGUGGUGGUUUCAUUAGGUGAUGAUGGUUGUUGAACUGAGUAUGUGGUGGCUGUUUAUGGGUGGUGAUGAUGCUUUAUUUGACUGAUUGGGUGGUGAUGAUGGUUCGAUUGGGUCUCUGGAGGCUGGUUAUGGGUUUGAUGGUCGUGGUAUGACAGAGAUGGCGAAGAGAGAUGGUUCUGGGUUUUGCGGGUGGCUGUGGUGGCGAAGAGAGAUGGGUCUGUGUGUGGCUUGCAGGUGGUGGUCAUGAGGGAAAUUUGGGGGAGAAGAGGGAGAGCUGGGCAUUGCCAGAGUUUGUCGAUUGGGUUGUGGUGGUGGUGUUUUGAUUCAAAGCGUAAGGAAAUCCAGCCGGACUCAUGUGUUCAAAAUAGCGAUGGUGCUAUUUUGCGAACUGCAUUUGGAGCUCACUGAAUUAGACAUGCGAGUCCGGUUAUUUUUUCACUGUUUGACUGUGCAGUCUCAUUUAAGUUAAUCCCCUUCCUUACCAAACAUGGGUUUUAAGUGUUAUUUAACACAAUCCAGUCCAGUGAGGCAUAGUGAGGCCUACCAAACAUGCCUUUAGGGUCAAAAAACCCAAAAUAUGAUAUAAUAGUAGAAGAUGUACUUGACCCAAAAAAAAAAAAAA